rnacentral:rRNA from 1 species
GACGAACGCUGGCGGCGUGCUUAACACAUGCAAGUCGAACGGUAAGGCCCUUCGGGGUACACGAGUGGCGAACGGGAGAGUAACACGUGGGUGAUCUGCCCUGCACUUCGGGAUAAGCCUGGGAAACUGGGUCUAAUACCGGAUAGGACUCCGGACUGCAUGGUCUGGGGUGGAAAGCUUUUGCGGUGUGGAUGGGCCCGCGGCCUAUCAGCUUGUUGGUGGGGGGAUGGCCUACCAAGGCGACGACGGGUAGCCGGCCUGAGAGGGUGACCGGCCACACUGGGACUGAGAUACGGCCCAGACUCCUACGGGAGGCAGCAGUGGGGAAUAUUGCACAAUGGGCGCAAGCCUGAUGCAGCGACGCCGCGUGAGGGAUGACGGCCUUCGGGUUGUAAACCUCUUUCAGCAUCGACGAAGCGAAAGUGACGGUAGGUGCAGAAGAAGGACCGGCCAACUACGUGCCAGCAGCCGCCGUAA